rnacentral:rRNA from 1 species
AUCCUGGCUCAGAUUGAACGCUGGCGGCAGGCCUAACACAUGCAAGUCGAGCGGUAACAGGGGAAGCUUGCUUCUCGCUGACGAGCGGCGGACGGGUGAGUAAUGUAUGGGGAUCUGCCCGAUAGAGGGGGAUAACUACUGGAAACGGUAGCUAAUACCGCAUAAUCUCUAAGGAGCAAAGCAGGGGAACUUCGGUCCUUGCGCUAUCGGAUGAACCCAUAUGGGAUUAGCUAGUUGGUGAGGUAAUGGCUCACCAAGGCGACGAUCCCUAGCUGGUCUGAGAGGAUGAUCAGCCACACUGGGACUGAGACACGGCCCAGACUCCUACGGGAGGCAGCAGUGGGGAAUAUUGCACAAUGGGCGCAAGCCUGAUGCAGCCAUGCCGCGUGUAUGAAGAAGGCCUUAGGGUUGUAAAGUACUUUCAGUUGGGAGGAAGG